AUCCAACCGAUAAGUCCCAAAGAGAAUGAAACGUGCGUCUUGGAU
rfam:Schistosoma mansoni strain Puerto Rico chromosome 5, complete genome